AUGACCCAUCACCAUGAUUGAAUCAAAAUUUUAAAAUUUUGUUUUAUUGGAGCCUAAAGAAUUAUCUUUCUAUGGUCUGUUGGCCAUUUCAGAACUUUGGAAAUGUAAUGGUCAAUUCAUUAGAAAGAAACAGUA